rnacentral:piRNA from 1 species
UGUUUAGCGUCCAUGUGGCUCCUUACAGAU